rnacentral:tRNA from 1 species
GGAGGGAUCGCAUAGUGGUCUAGUGCGGGCGCCUGCUAAGCGCUUAUCCUGAGAAAUUNGGAUCGUGGGUUCGAAUCCCACUCCCUCCGCCG